CCUACGGGAGGCAGCAGUGGGGAAUAUUGGACAAUGGGCGAAAGCCUGAUCCAGCCAUGCCGCGUGUGUGAAGAAGGUCUUCGGAUUGUAAAGCACUUUAAGUUGGGAGGAAGUGUAGUAACUUAAUACGUUGCUAUUUUGACGUUACCGACAGAAUAAGCACCGGCUAACUUCGUGCCAGCAGCCGCGGUAAU
rnacentral:rRNA from 1 species